AUUAUUUUGAAAUUUAUGACAAUCAAAUAGUGGUAGCUUAAAGCUUACAUUUCUUUACAAACACUUUUCUUCCCCCUGGGAGUGUGUGAACUAAGAAAAUUCCAGGAGGAACAUUCCAGUACUUAAAAUAGAAUUGGAAAGUGACAGACCAAAAGGGUCUAAUAAAUUAUUCAUCUGAAUUCCUUUGUGAUUUCAUAGGGUAAGGGAACUAUUUACUAUCACCUUCAUUUUUAUAAGAGGAACACAUUUUUUCACACAUAACGAGUAUUUUAACUUUGUGUCAAUUUUCUUUGUCUCUUCAAGAACCUCUACUAGGUACCAUUUGAUUAGUCUAGCUUGAAUUCCUAUAUGAAUUUCAUAACAUUUGAAUAUUUAAAAGCAUAUAUUUAGGCCCUUUCUCAUUAAAAGCCCUGUGUAUGAGAUAAACUAUUAUUUAAACAGUCUUCUAAACUUUACUGAUGUAUACAUCUAUGAGAUCCUUACCAUUGUAAAUUCAAACCAAAAUUUUAUUUAUAAAAGGCCAGCCAGCCCAGCCAUCUCUCCAUGUCUGCAGGACAAAGUCUAUGUCCUGAACUUAGCAUUUAAAUAUUUUCAGAUUGGCUUAGUUCACUCUUUGAACUCUAUUGCCUGAUGCAAAUUAACCACCCUAAUGACCUCCUGCAUGGACUUUCUCAUCUCUAUGAAUUUGCCAGUGCUUUUAAUUUUUUUUCUACCUGGCUUCUUCUUCUAUUUCUCCACCAACAUAAUUCCUAAAUAUGUCUUUUAACAAGCCUUAAAUAUUACUUUCUUUAUGAAAUCAUUCAAGAUUUUCCCCGUACCCUAGUCCACCCUGGCCAGAAUCUGUCAUUUCGGUCACUUCUAGAGCACACUCUGUUGCCCUUUGUUUUGGAUUCAUCAGAUGCAGAUCCAGUAUCUCUAUUUAAUGUAGCUCAGCAGGGCAGCCUUGAGGUUGGGGAGGGAUGUGGUGAUAAGGGACUUUUGUUUUUUCAAGCUCCUUUUGCAUAGCAAGCCACAUUUACACCAAUCGGAAUAGCAAUCUUAAUUGUUCUUAAUGGACACUAGUAUUUAUGGGCAAUGAUUAAAUCAAGAAUUUCCCUUCAACUCUAAGGAGAAGACUGUGGAAGGAGAUGGCUACCUGUGAAUAUCAGACCUAUCAGAGGACAUUCUAUGUUUGGCCUUGAAAUUUAUUGACUUCUCUCCAUAAAUAGAGCAAUUCUUGGUCAGACUCGCAGUGUUUGUACCGAAGUUACUUAUGUUUCCAAAUAUCCCUUUAUCCUUGGAUAAGAGCUAAAUAUUGAUGGUAUCUUUCAGGUAAUUAGACACCUUAGAUUAAAUUUUGUGCAUAAAUGUAAUCAUUAAGCAAACAGGCUUAUCCAGACUUAUUGUGAAACUGACCUAGCUUAUACUGCAUCUAUUUUCAACCUUAGCAACAGCCCUUCGGCCAAGGCAAGGAUAUAACAGAGGAUUCAGUGCUGCCUGCCUGUCAUUUCCAGAGCUUGCUUUGCAUCCAAUGACUCCAAACAGUGUUUUGUCUCAAGUUGAUUCAAAUGCAAUGCAAGACAAAUCAGGUUUCUUGUCUUUAAGACUUUCAGAAGGCUUUGGUGCCCUACAUUGGCUUAAAGGGGCUUUACUUCAUGGGGUAUUUGCUGUUUGGCUUAGGGACGGGAUUUAUAGGUCUCUUUCCAAAUGUCUACUCCACCCUGGUCCUGUGUACCUUGUUUGGUAUAAUGUCCAGCACCCUGUACACCGUCCCCUUUAACCUCAUGGCUGAGUACCACCUUGCGGAGGAGAAGGAGGUACG
rnacentral:lncRNA from 1 species